UACGCAGGGUGCGAGCGUUGUCCGGAAUUAUUGGGCGUAAAGAGCUCGUAGGCGGUUUGUCGCGUCGGCCGUGAAAACUUGGGGCUUAACCCCGAGCCUGCGGUCGAUACGGGCAGGCUUGAGUUCGGCAGGGGAGACUGGAAUUCCUGGUGUAGCGGUGAAAUGCGCAGAUAUCAGGAGGAACACCGGCGGCGAAGGCGGGUCUCUGGGCCGAUACUGACGCUGAGGAGCGAAAGCGUGGGGAGCGAACAGG
rnacentral:rRNA from 1 species